ACCUAAUCCUACAGGCAGUUGUGAAUAAACAGUACUCCAAUGUCAUGUAAAAUUAUAAUCUAGGACAAGAAUGUUUAGUAAUAACCUACUUAAAAAGAGUGAAAACCAAAAGUAAUUAACUGCCAGCAGGCUUAGCAUCCCUUUGCACAGAGAGAAAAAUAGGAAAAAUCUUAAACCAUUUCUUGAGGACUUUCAAUUCACAAGAACUUGUGAAAAGUAACAGAGGAAACUGCAAAUGAAAUUUUUUCGCAAAGCAAACAUUCUCUAUUUUGGAGAAAAAUAUAUUCCAGUGCCAUGGGUUUACUAGCCCUUCCCUAGAACUGAAGAUGGUUGUUUCUAGGUGGGUUUCCCGGUACUGAGCCAAUGAGAAGCUGUAGUAACGCCUCUACAAAUGACAUAUUUAAGUAGCUGGAAGAGAAGGUUUGUGGCGCAGAAGAAAUUAGAGAUAUGAAGGUGGCAGAGAGGUCAGCAGGUCCCACGGAGGCCAGGCCCACCCCCCCAUCCCCACCCUGGCCCAGGGGCAGACGCAGCACUGGAGCUGAGCCAGUCCCCUGGAUGAGGCGUGCAGCAGAGCUCAGAAGAAAUUCCAGACAGCGAGAGAGAAACUGCCUGGGAGUUCUCCGGCCGGCCUCGCUGCCUCCCCCCACUGCAGGGGAGGGGUGGUAGCAGGCUGGAGUGGCAGCAACGCACGAUCCGGAGUGAAGUGGGCCCGGAGCAGGCCCGGAGCGGCAGCAGCAGACGGCAUGAAGCGUGCCAGGAGCAGAGCAGAGCGAAGAAGAGAAGCACAGCCAGGACAGCUACCACUGCCUCUCGAAUUUGCAACAGAGAGAGAGAGAAGCCACACUGAAGCAGGUUGAUUCUGGAUAUCCUUUGACAGAAAGUCAGAAUACAGGAGCAUGCUGGGACAUCAUAGAGCUCCAAAAUAUUGUCUCAGGUCUGGAGCAAAGCCCCAACACCAAGCCCAGACUGAAAUUCUUCACUUCACUGAGGGAUCAAAACAUGACAUCCAUCUCUUAAGGCUGAUUUACUGACAUAAUGAGUGCAAUGGAGAUUAAGCAUGUGUGGUGUGGGUGCUCUAAAACAAUGUGAAAAAUCUAAUUCAGUAAUAACAGAGUCCCUGCUGACAA